CCUCAUUAGACUUGCUUGUGGUCCAGACCCUAGGACCAUACAGAAGGUUCCUACCAGUUGAUAGACUAACAUAAUCCUUUAGCGGGCAGCGAGACACACCUUUUAUGGCCCUUACCCCUGAAGUCCUGCCCAACUGCCCAAAUUAACAGUGUUGUGAGCCAUGCACAAUAACUAUUUACAAUCCAUUCUCUGCUACUGACCAAGGAAAGUUUGACUCAAAUAGCACUACAUAAAUGACAGAAGUUCUCAUGAUGAAUUUAUGUGAGUAAAAGCUCCAGAUGUGUAAAUGCAGUCAAAGUUACUUAAUAUAAAAAAAUGGUAGUGUUGCUAGAAAUUCUAGUGCUACUAGAAAGACCAAAACCUAU